rnacentral:rRNA from 1 species
UACGCAGGGGGCUAGCGUUGCUCGGAAUUACUGGGCGUAAAGCGCACGUAGGCGGCUCUUUAAGUCGGGGGUGAAAUCCUGGAGCUCAACUCCAGAACUGCCUUCGAUACUGUAGAGCUUGAGUUCGGGAGAGGUGAGUGGAACUGCGAGUGUAGAGGUGAAAUUCGUAGAUAUUCGCAAGAACACCAGUGGCAAAGGCGGCUCACUGGCCCGAUACUGACGCUGAGGUGCGAAAGCGUGGGGAGCAAACAGG